GAAACUUCGUGGAAGGGGGAUGGAAGAAGGAUCUCCACUAUAGCCAUCGUUCAGAUUGAACAGAAUAUAUUGUGAAAAGGAGCCACUAUGAGCCAUCUUUUCUUAUUACAUAUUUCCAAUUCGAAUUCUUCUCUCCGAUAUUCAAUUCUAGCACACUUGGUGAAAAUCAUCAUUCCUUCAUCAAUUUCCCAAAUCAAAUGCACACUCAAAACAUUUCAAAUUUAGCGCUCUUAACUCAUCCGUGAACCUCCACUCCAAUUGCAAGCAUUCAUUUAUCUAUUAUCAUUCCUAUUAAUUUCGUUACAUCCUUAAUCUUCUUACCUUUUACUCUUCUUUUUUCAUAUUCUCAAUCUUCAGUCAACAAAUCAUAUCAAUGGCUUUCUUGACCAAUGAAGGAGCCUCUUCUUCUUCUUCUACCCACGGAUGGGACUUUGAUGUCUUCUUGAAUUUUCGAGGUAAAGAUACUCGUAAUAAUUUUACAAGCCAUUUAUAUAAGGCUUUGGAUGACCAAGGUUUUAAGACCUUCAUCGAUAAUAACCUUCUGAGGGGAGAAGAAAUUCCAAUGGAACUUCUUAAAACCAUUAGAUCGUCAAUGAUUUGGAUUGUUGUGUUCUCUAAAGAUUAUGUAUCUUCUCCUUGGUGCUUGAAUGAACUUGUUGAGAUUUUUAAGUGUAGGAGUGAAGACCGAAAGGUUAUACCAAUUUUUUACAAAGUGAGCCCAUCAGAAAUACGUGAACAAGAUGGAGAGUUUGGGAUUGCACUAGCUAAUCAUGAAGAAAAAUUCAAAGAUAAGGUCCAGACGUGGAGGGAAACUUUAGCUAAAGUAGCUAAUUUGUCUGGAUUUACUUACAAAGAUGGCUGCGAUGAAUCUGAAUCAAAGUUUAUCCAAAAAGUUAUAAAUGAGAUAUCAAGUACUAAAUCAAAUCGUAUGCUAUUAUUUGUUGCUAAAUAUCCAGUUGGAAUAGAUAUUCGAGCGAAGGCCAUAGAAUCGCUUUUAGAUAUGGAGUCGAAUGAUGGUUGCAUGGUAGGAAUUUAUGGUCUUGGGGGAGUUGGUAAGACUACAAUCUCGAAAGCUAUUUAUAAUAGAAUUGCAAACUGUUUUGAAGGAAGCUGUUUUUUAGAGGAUGUUAGAGAAAUGUCAAAGAUAAAUGGUGACAUAAUCCAACUACAAGAGAAAUUUCUUUCUAAGAUCUUACAAGGUAGAUAUUUGAAGGUGUGCAAUGUUUCCGAAGGUACUAAUUUGAUAAAGGAAACACUUCAUCGUAAAAAAGUCCUUUUAAUUCUUGAUGAUGUGGGUGAUGAUGUGGGUGGAUCAAAAGUGGUUGAAAAUUUCCUUGGAGAAUGUAACAAGUUUGCUUUUGGAAGUAGAGUCAUUGUAACAACAAGAAACAAACAAGUACUAACCAUUUUGGGAAUUGAUCAUCGUCGAAUACACAAGGUUGAAGAAUUGAGGCAAUGUGAAGCUCGUGAACUUUUCAUCAAACAUGCCUUCCAAACAAGUAAAUAUGAGGAAGAUUAUUUAGAACUUGCAAACAAGAUUAUACUUUAUGCCAAUGGCCUACCAUUAGCUUUACAAAUUAUUGGUUCUGAUUUGUGUGGAAAAAAUAUACAAGAAUGGAAAAGUGCAUUUGAAAAGUAUGAAAACAUUCCACAUAAAAAUAUUCAAGAAAAACUCAAAAUAAGUUAUGAUGGAUUGGAAGAAACUGAAAAGGAUAUUUUUCUUGAUAUUGCAUGUUUUUUUAAGGGUUACAGAAAGGAUGGUGUUUUAAAUAUAUUACGUUCUUGCGAUUUAUAUCCAGACAAUGGUAUUGGAAGGCUUAUUGACAAGUGUCUUGUAACGUUGGAACAUGGCAUUUUGUCAAUGCAUGACUUGAUACAACAAAUGGGUAGAGAAAUCGUUCAACAAGAAUCAAAAGAGCUUGAAAGACGUAGUAGGAUAUGGCGUUAUAAGGAUGCUUAUAAGUUACUAACUAGAAAUAUGGGAUCAGAUAAAAUUCGAGGUAUAAUGUUGCGCUCACCUAAACCAACAAAGGUUGCAUUGAAAGCUAAUGUUUUCAAGAGGAUGGAAAAUCUCAAAUUUCUUAUAGGCAAUGCACAUAUUGUUGAAGAUCUUGAAUAUCUCCCAGAUGAGUUAAGGUUUCUUGAAUGGCAUAAAUUGUCCUUAUCUUCCAAAUGUUGUGCCCCUGAAGAACUUGUUGCACUCAACCUGUCUACGUCUAACAUUAAAUUGGAGAAUGCAUUCAAGCAGGGGUUCAAGUAUGAAAAUUUGAAAAUUAUCAACCUAAGAUCCUGUGAAUUCAUUACAAAAUUACCUGACUUGUGUUGCCCAAACUUAGAGGAAUUGAAUCUUAGAAAUUGUGAAAAAUUAAUUGAGGUUCAUGAGUCCAUUGGACUUCUUGAGAAGCUUAAAGUAUGGGAUCUCAAGGGCUGUUCACAACUUCAAAUUCUUCCAAGUACGCUCAGGUUGAAAUCUCUUGAAUAUUUUCAAUUAUCAUGUUGCAGAAGGCUUGAGAAGUUCCCCGAUAUUCACCCAGAAAUGAAAUCUCUAAAUUAUUUGGAUUUGUUUCGUUGUGGUAUUAGAGAAUUGCCUUCAUCAUUGUUGUAUCUGACUAGACUUGCCGUGUUAGGCGGCCUAGGUGUCAGUCAGCUUACAAAUUUUCUAGUUGGGGCCAAUAAAUCACAAAUGCGGGAGGAAGAAGAUAUUCCUUCUACCAAAUUGAGACUGGCGUGCAAUUCCUUUAAUAACUUUUCGGGACCUACUGGGUUUCUGAGAUUGACAAAACUAAAUCUUAGCUUCCAUCCGAUUAAAGUUGAAUUAGAUUCUUGGAUGCGGCCCGAUUACUUCCCAGUAUUAGAAAGUUUGUCUCUUGCUUCUACUGGUAUUGUUACCAUCCCAAAAAGUAUUAGUAGAUUUACUACAUUAGUAUAUCUUCAAAUUCAAUAUUGCAAAAAGCUUCGGGAAAUUUCGAGACUUCGACAAUCUAUAGGAGCUGUGGAUGCAAGGAAUUGCGAUCAGCUGGAUACACAAUCAUCAAGCAGAUUAUUGAAUCAGUUUCGAGAAAUUCUAGCGAUUCUACCAAAUACAGUCGCUAAAGCUGCAACAAGCUUUUUUCCCGAAUGGCCUAUGGGUAGUCUUAUACUACCAGUAACUGAGAUUCCGAAGUGGUUGAAAUUCAACCAUCAUCAGAGUGUUGGAAAUUCUGUAUCAUUCUUGGUCGGUCCCAAAAUUUCAAAUUUGGUUGUUUGUAUUGCUUUUCCAUCAAAGGAUGUGCCCAUCGAUCCCGACGAUACAGAGUGGCCAACCUGGAAUGUUCUAAUUUCCAUUAAUGGUAAAACACGAUUGGAAGGGUCGAGAGGUUGGAAGAAUAGUAAUUAUGACCAUCUAUGGUUAAUGUAUUGGAAAGUGAAUAUAUCAAAUCCAUCUGAAGAGAAUCGCAUUGAGAUUAAGGUUAUACCUGAAUGGCGUGUAUCUAUUUCACUAAAUAGAUUGAGGAUUUAUGUAGAAUGCAUCUGUUGUCCUCAGAAACCCAAUAUAUCUAUGGAUCAAUGUGCUUUCAACAAUGGGGAAGAAGAUUCAGGCCGUGUUGGAAUCCGACGCCGACUGCGAAGAAGAAACCAUCGACCAACCCAUGCUAGACGUCCCCAAAAACACUUCCUGUCCCGCUUUGGAUGGCUUCGAAUCCGAUACCGACUCUCGAAAACAAGCUCCAAACCUUGGAGACGGCGAAUUACCAACGGGUUUCAUCUUCAAUCCCCAAUACCUUUUCAAUGAUGAUACCAAGACCAAUCCUUCUCCACCGUCUUAAUCCAACUUUGAAGAGAAGGGAGCUAAAGUGAAGUUGACAGAAUUGGGAAGAUAUACUCAAGCUUCCUCUGCUUCAGAACUUGACUAAGGUGAAACCAAGUGACCCUGAUGUUUUCCAUUUGCUUGGAGAAGUCAAAUACGAAUUCAAAGGGAGAAAAAUGAUGGAGAAAGAGAUAAAGAGGGCUGUCCUGCUUCAUUCUUGUUAGAUAGCUGUGGAAGCAUAUUCAAUGAGAAGAGCUAGUAAAGGAAUUCUACCUAUGGCUAGAAGUGUUAGAAACAAUGGAGCUAUUGCAAGAGAACAGUCGGCUAGUAGUGCUAGAAAGAAUGGAGCAAUUGCAAGAGAAGAGUCUACUGGAAGUUCUAGAAAGAAUGGAGCAAUUACAAGAGAAGAGUCAGAUGGAAGUGCUAAAAACAAUGGAGCUAUUGCAAGGGAAGAGUUAGCUAGAAGUGCUAAAAUUUAUAGAGCUAUUCCAAGAGAAGAGUCAGUUGGAACUGCUAGAAAUUAUGGAGCAAUUACAAGAGAAGAGUCUGGAACAAGUGAAAGUGGUGGCUCAUGAGUUGGAAAUAAGAAAGGGCGAUGGGCUACACGGAAUCUAAAUCUAGCAAAACUUUUUAUAAAGGAAAGGUUCCCAAUCCUAUGGAAAAAGGGAAGACUAGUAGGGAAAUACUCUACAGAUUCAAAUGGAGUGUACUGCCUUUGUUGGCGGAUUAGUAUGGUACCUUUACAAGUCAAAGAUUGGAGAGAGGUGCCUCAUCAAAACAAAAGAAUGCUAUUUGAUUAUAUAUUGGUAUCAAGGAAAAAAAAUGAAAGUAAAGAAUCUGAUUUUAGCAGUUCAAACAAGUUUCUUAGCUGAUUUAUACCUGGAUGGUGGUGUGGAUCUUUCAAUUUCAUCCAAUUCUAAGUUCUAACACAAAAACCCAUUUCAGAUUUCUUGACUUGGAGAGGCUAAAUGGGAUUGAGCAGUACUGCCCUUUCUCCACAUAGCUUAGCAGCACCUUGUGGCAGAGGGUGGAAAAAUUGAAAUGGCAGCUACUUGUGGGAUGGUGGCUGGGUAUGAUGGUUUUAGCCUAGGGGUAGAGAUGCUGAUUGAUGUAGGCAUAAAAGCAUGGGUAUGAUGUAGAGUCUUAAAUUUUUAUUCAUGAUUUUUAACAUCCCUUAAUGCUUGUGGAAUGGGUAUCAGUUACUGGAAGAGAAGAAGUUUGAUUUUGAAUACUGUUAUGAGCAGAUUAGCUUGUGCAGGUCAUAGCAGAUUAGUAAUACUGUUAUGUUGUAGUGCUUGCCACCUUCUAUUUAGUCAUGUUUCAUAUGGUCUUUUUAAAUAAUCUUUCAUAAAUUGGAAGGUCUUCUUUUUUCUGUUUUUUUUUUUUUCAAAAGGGCCUCAGAUAAAGUUGCAGUUAGUACUGUUAAACAACUUUGUAAACAAUGAGAUGCAUCUAUGUCUUGGAGUGGUUUUCACUUGUGACUGUAUAAUCACUGUAUACCUAUGACAUUUCAACAUUGGUUUUUUUUUUUUUUUUAAAAGAUUUAAUCACUCCAUCAAGAAUAUGAUUACUGCUAAUGUUCUUUAAAACAAUGAUGGUUUUUAAGUAAAAUUGAAUUUUGUAGUUUCUGGGUAGCAGUUUCUGUAUCUGUUUUAAAUAAUCGUUGUAGUUUAAGAACUUUUUAUUUAUUUUGGUGGGAUACUCUCUUGAUAUCAUCCCUCUUAUCCAAAUUACAUCAUCCACAAUAGCCAGCCUUUUGGAACCAAAAGUUUCUCUUCUUAAUUGCACCAAAAAGGAAUAAAUUUCAUUACAUUACUAGAUUUUGUACAUCAUUUUAUUCAUAAUUCCAAAGAUAAGUUAAUUUGGAGAUCUGAUGAGGAAUGAGUGCACUAUAAAAUCCAGUUGUCACUUAUUCUUUUGAAAGCUCUCUCUUCCUCAUGAAUUGAAGCUCAUCUCCCUCAUCAAUAGCGUUGCUUCUUGGCACUACUAAUAAAAAAAAUCCUAAUUUUCCGUGUAUUCUGUUCAAAGCCUUGGUAAUCAGUCUUCUUCGUGGAGAAAGCGAAUUUUCUUUGAUUCACAAUCCUUUCUUUGAAAGUUGCAAUGGAACACUAGCUAUCUCCUCUUUGAUUGUGCAAUCACUUCUAGUUUUGGGGCCACCUCAAGAAUUGAUCUUCAUCUUCAACAUUAUUUUUUAUUAUUUAUUGAUUCCAUCAAAACUAGAAGUUUUAAAUUCACAUCCAAUAAAUUAUCCAUUUAUAGUUUUUGGUAAAUGUUGUUCUAACUAAAAAGUUUUUGACUUUGAAGAUAUUUAAGGCCCCUCAACUAUAUUUAUGACGAGCAUUAGUAUACUAGGAACACUGUGGCCUAUUCACUUGACUACCCACUCCCAAGUCUCAGUCUUGAGUCCUACUAAUGUGAGUAUAGUAAGGACUCCAAAUAAUAAUAUAUACCAUGCACAGAGCAUCUAUAGUUUCUGUGUUAAGGCAUGGAAAACCACAUCAAAGUGAAAAGAGAAAACCGGUAAAGGAUUCUAAUAUGCCCAAACAAGCUCUAUAGCAACUGAAGAAGACACCACGACAUUGGGAGACAAUUAUACUAUAGGAAGCAACAUUUUAAUAGCAAAGAAAAUGUCCAAAGAGUUGAAUAAUUAAAAGGAAGCCAAUAGGGUAUUAGUUUAGUUAUGGGAAUAAUUUCCUCAAUGUUACAAAGCAGAGUCCAAUGAGCUAUAGUGUGGGUUCAGGAAUUACACUUUCUAACUACAUGUAAAGCUUGCCAACAAUAGCAUGAAGUUGAUGCCAACCUAGUAUCCACUAUUAGUGGUUCUAUGGACUAGUGAGAUCUGCAUAGAGAACUUUGGGUUCAUUGAAUUUCAUUUAGUUCAUUUCCCUCCAUCAAAACCUUUCUAAAACAAAGCUUUGAGUGCUGUUCUUGCUUCUACUAUAAGAGGACCAUCCAUCCAUCCUUAUUAGCUUGAUACAAAACAAAUAAUGUCAUUCUUAUGAUCAUGGCCAUCUGUCGCAACACAUGUUUGGUUGUUUGUUAAAGUUGCAUCAAAAUUAACUUUGACAAAAGGGGGAGGAAGAGGUGUUCAUGUUCUGGUACCUUUGUACCUCGGUAGUGGAUUCCCAGGCUUGCAAAUGAGUUUUUGUAGUUUGAGAUGUGCUCCCUGCAUUGGAUCAGUUGUAGUCCUACGUACCAUCUGUCUAUUCCUUUGCAUCCAGAUUACAUCACAACAUAUGGUAGCACACAUUGAUAAAUUUCUUACCUCUUCUAGUGGGACCUUCAUGGAGCUUUUUGAAUUGAACACUAUUUGGAUCCAUUCCUCCAUAGAUGACAGGUUGAGCUCUUAAAUUCUAAAAGGUCGUUGGGGAUGACCACAAAUUCCGAGUCACUAGGCACUUUAAGAAUAGGUGCUCUAUGGACUCUUGGGCUGCAUUACACAUUUGCAGUUUAGGUCUUCUAUUGAAAAUAUCAGGCUUAGCAUCACUUUUGUUAUGGGAACCAACAUUAAGGUUAUAGUUCUUACCCCAUUUCUAUCUUUGUCUGUCAGUGUGCUCCAUUCCAUUUUUCCAUCAUUGUUCUAUUGAUGCACUCCAUACGUCAUGACAAAA